rnacentral:rRNA from 1 species
AGGAAUAUUGGUCAAUGGGCGAGAGCCUGAACCAGCCAAGUAGCGUGAAGGAUGACUGCCCUAUGGGUUGUAAACUUCUUUUAUAAAGGAAUAAAGUCGGGUAUGGAUACCCGUUUGCAUGUACUUUAUGAAUAAGGAUCGGCUAACUCCGUGCCAGCAGCCGCGGUAAUACGGAGGAUCCGAGCGUUAUCCGGAUUUAUUGGGUUUAAAGGGAGCGUAGGCGGAUUGUUAAGUCAGUUGUGAAAGUUUGCGGCUCAACCGUAAAAUUGCAGUUGAUACUGGCAGUCUUGAGUGCAGUAGAGGUGGGCGGAAUUCGUGGUGUAGCGGUGAAAUGCUUAAAUAUCACGAAGAACCCCGAUUGCGAAGGCAGCCUGCUAAACCGCCACUGACGUUGAGGCUCGAAAGUGUGGGUAUCAAACAGGAUUAGAUACCCUGGUAGUCCACACGGUAAACGAUGGAUACUCGCUGUUGGCGAUAGACUGUCAGCGGCUUAGCGAAAGCGUUAAGUAUCCCACCUGGGGAGUACGCCGGCAACGGUGAAACUCAAAGGAAUUGACGGGGGCCCGCACAAGCGGAGGAACAUGUGGUUUAAUUCGAUGAUACGCGAGGAACCUUACCCGGGCUUGAAUUGCAGACGAAUUGCUUGGAAACAGGCAAGCCGCAAGGCGUCUGUGAAGGUGCUGCAUGGUUGUCGUCAGCUCGUGCCGUGAGGUGUCGGCUUAAGUGCCAUAACGAGCGCAACCCUUGUUGUCAGUUACUAACAGGUUCCGCUGAGGACUCUGACAAGACUGCCAUCGUAAGAUGUGAGGAAGGUGGGGAUGACGUCAAAUCAGCACGGCCCUUACGUCCGGGGCUACACACGUGUUACAAUGGGGGGUACAGAGGGCCGCUACCACGCGAGUGGAUGCCAAUCCCCAAAACCUCUCUCAGUUCGGACUGGAGUCUGCAACCCGACUCCACGAAGCUGGAUUCGCUAGUAAUCGCGCAUCAGCCACGGCGCGGUGAAUACGUUCCCG